GAUACUGGAACUAGUUGAAGAUGACUGGUAUCAUAUUGGACAGUGUCUUGAAGUGAAGGAAUCAGUGUUAACUGAAAUCAAAGAGAUGACACCAGUUGAUUCAAGAUUAACUCAUGUACUUGAGAUCUGCUGUAAUGAGAAGGAUAGAACAAUAACGGAACUGGAGGACUCAUUGAAAAGAAUGGAUAGAGAUGAUAUACUGGAAGGUUUACAUGAAUUACCUACUGGACAAUAUACAAUGAAUAAUGAUGAAGAAUAUGAUAUUAAUGUAAAAGAUUCAAAUGUAUUUGAGAUUCAAA